rnacentral:lncRNA from 1 species
AUGCCACAUCUGGGUGCCACCUUCUCUGCUGAGAAGCUCUUGAGGCCAGUGGGAUGGACUCCAAAACUGAGAAAGGAGGGAAGCAAGGAAAGGAGGGAUCUGCCUACAGAUGGAUUCAGAGCCUCAUCACUUCUCCCCGCGCCCCACGCGCUGCUACUGCCACCAUCUCUGCCUGGAUUGUUUACAUUGGGGUCCUGGAAUUCCUUUGUGGCACAGCAGGUUGAGGAUCCAGCAUUGUCACUGCAGCAGCCCAGGUUGCUGCUGUGGUGUGGGUUCGAUCUCUGGCCUGGGAACUUCCUAAUGCCAUCGGUGAGGCAAUUUAAAAAAAAAACACACACAAUUCGGCCCUGAAUGCGGCAGGCCAGCUCUACCACAGGACUUUUGUACCUGCUGCUCCCUUUGCCCUUCCACAAGUGUCCUCAUAUGUCAGCAUCUGUCUUUGCUCAAAUGUCCCUUCUCAACAAGGCUUGGCACUAAACUCAUUGUCUCCUCUUCCUAGGCACCCGUUUGGAGGAUGUUUCCAGCUCCUUUGCCAUUGAGCUGGUAGAGCAUGAGAAGAAGCAACCUGUGUCUCUUCUGAGCUGAGGAUGUUGAGAAGCAGAUGUGCCCCAUCCACCUCUCCGCCCCCUGCCUUGACCUCUUGCUCUAGAAGAUGGCACAGCCGCAGAUGGAAAGAGCCAGGGGGCCUCUCCACCCAGAGGCAGGCCACCUGCCAAUCAGAGCGC